UACGGAGGAUCCGAGCGUUAUCCGGAAUUAUUGGGUUUAAAGGGUGCGUAGGCGGCCAUUUAAGUCAGCGGUGAAAUUUUGCAGCUUAACUGUAGCAGUGCCGUUGAUACUGUUUGGCUAGGAUUUGGUUGUAGUGUGCGGAAUGUGUGGUGUAGCGGUGAAAUGCUUAGAGAUCACACAGAAUAUCGAUUGCGAAGGCAGCUCACAAAGCCAAGAUUGACGCUGAGGUACGAAAGUGUGGGGAUCAAACAGGAUUA
rnacentral:rRNA from 1 species